GCGGCAAGUGUGGGGCUGUGCGGUGUCGGGGUACGGGGGCCCUCCAUUCAGUUUUCUCCCCCUCCCCUCCCCGGCGGUUCUCGCUGUGUGCCCGGGCGGGUGGCGGUGCCCGGGGUGCAGAGCCAGCGAGGGCCGCGUGUGGUGCGCGCGGUGCGCAUCCAGCAGCGUCCCGGGCCGCGAAGGGCGCUGGGGCCGGAGCCGACGGGCAGCACAGCUGGGGCUGCGCCGUGGCCUUCCCCUCAGCGGGGCGAGUGUCCAGCGGCCCACGUUCUUUCCCUGAUCCUCUUCCCCGUUCCCUGGCGCGGGGGCCUGUGGAUCCCUAUCCCGAGGGACUGCGUGGGCUUUGGUGCGGUGCUCUGCACCGUGAGAGCAGGCCCGUGGCCGUGUUUUGCGGUGACUGAGGUCUCGUCCUCCUCACAGGAGGCAGCAGGAAGACGCACAGUGUGUUUGAGCAGCACCAGGAUGGAGGAGCCCACUGGGAACCUUCCCACCCGGAGAGACGUCAUUCUUUCCGAGUCGUGCUGGGAUCACAUCACCAUAACAAACCUGGUGGAAGUGCUGAGAUCUUUGGUGGCUUUAACUGACCCUCAGGAGGGGAAGCUGACUCAGUCUCAAGAGAAAGCACUAAACUCGCUGGGCAUUUGGAAAACUGUAUUUAGAGCUGUUCCUGGGUCUGCAUCAAAGACCGC
rnacentral:lncRNA from 1 species